GGGUUGUGAGGUUAAGCGACUAAGCGUACACGGUGGAUGCCCUGGCAGUCAGAGGCGAUGAAGGACGUGCUAAUCUGCGAUAAGCGUCGGUAAGGUGAUAUGAACCGUUAUAACCGGCGAUUUCCGAAUGGGGAAACCCAGUGUGAUUCGUCACACUAUCAUUAACUGAAUCCAUAGGUUAAUGAGGCGAACCGGGGGAACUGAAACAUCUAAGUACCCCGAGGAAAAGAAAUCAACCGAGAUUCCCCCAGUAGCGGCGAGCGAACGGGGAGCAGCCCAGAGCCUGAAUCAGUGUGUGUGUUAGUGGAAGCGUCUGGAAAGGCGCGCGAUACAGGGUGACAGCCCCGUACACAAAAAUGCACAUACUGUGAGCUCGAUGAGUAGGGCGGGACACGUGGUAUCCUGUCUGAAUAUGGGGGGACCAUCCUCCAAGGCUAAAUACUCCUGACUGACCGAUAGUGAACCAGUACCGUGAGGGAAAGGCGAAAAGAACCCCGGCGAGGGGAGUGAAAAAGAACCUGAAACCGUGUACGUACAAGCAGUGGGAGCACGCUUCGGCGUGUGACUGCGUACCUUUUGUAUAAUGGGUCAGCGACUUAUAUUCUGUAGCAAGGUUAACCGAAUAGGGGAGCCGAAGGGAAACCGAGUCUUAACUGGGCGUUAAGUUGCAGGGUAUAGACCCGAAACCCGGUGAUCUAGCCAUGGGCAGGUUGAAGGUUGGGUAACACUAACUGGAGGACCGAACCGACUAAUGUUGAAAAAUUAGCGGAUGACUUGUGGCUGGGGGUGAAAGGCCAAUCAAACCGGGAGAUAGCUGGUUCUCCCCGAAAGCUAUUUAGGUAGCGCCUCGUGAAUUCAUCUCCGGGGGUAGAGCACUGUUUCGGCAAGGGGGUCAUCCCGACUUACCAACCCGAUGCAAACUGCGAAUACCGGAGAAUGUUAUCACGGGAGACACACGGCGGGUGCUAACGUCCGUCGUGAAGAGGGAAACAACCCAGACCGCCAGCUAAGGUCCCAAAGUCAUGGUUAAGUGGGAAACGAUGUGGGAAGGCCCAGACAGCCAGGAUGUUGGCUUAGAAGCAGCCAUCAUUUAAAGAAAGCGUAAUAGCUCACUGGUCGAGUCGGCCUGCGCGGAAGAUGUAACGGGGCUAAACCAUGCACCGAAGCUGCGGCAGCGACACUAUGUGUUGUUGGGUAGGGGAGCGUUCUGUAAGCCUGCGAAGGUGUACUGUGAGGUAUGCUGGAGGUAUCAGAAGUGCGAAUGCUGACAUAAGUAACGAUAAAGCGGGUGAAAAGCCCGCUCGCCGGAAGACCAAGGGUUCCUGUCCAACGUUAAUCGGGGCAGGGUGAGUCGACCCCUAAGGCGAGGCCGAAAGGCGUAGUCGAUGGGAAACAGGUUAAUAUUCCUGUACUUGGUGUUACUGCGAAGGGGGGACGGAGAAGGCUAUGUUGGCCGGGCGACGGUUGUCCCGGUUUAAGCGUGUAGGCUGGUUUUCCAGGCAAAUCCGGAAAAUCAAGGCUGAGGCGUGAUGACGAGGCACUACGGUGCUGAAGCAACAAAUGCCCUGCUUCCAGGAAAAGCCUCUAAGCAUCAGGUAACAUCAAAUCGUACCCCAAACCGACACAGGUGGUCAGGUAGAGAAUACCAAGGCGCUUGAGAGAACUCGGGUGAAGGAACUAGGCAAAAUGGUGCCGUAACUUCGGGAGAAGGCACGCUGAUAUGUAGGUGAAGUCCCUCGCGGAUGGAGCUGAAAUCAGUCGAAGAUACCAGCUGGCUGCAACUGUUUAUUAAAAACACAGCACUGUGCAAACACGAAAGUGGACGUAUACGGUGUGACGCCUGCCCGGUGCCGGAAGGUUAAUUGAUGGGGUCAGCGCAAGCGAAGCUCUUGAUCGAAGCCCCGGUAAACGGCGGCCGUAACUAUAACGGUCCUAAGGUAGCGAAAUUCCUUGUCGGGUAAGUUCCGACCUGCACGAAUGGCGUAAUGAUGGCCAGGCUGUCUCCACCCGAGACUCAGUGAAAUUGAACUCGCUGUGAAGAUGCAGUGUACCCGCGGCAAGACGGAAAGACCCCGUGAACCUUUACUAUAGCUUGACACUGAACAUUGAGCCUUGAUGUGUAGGAUAGGUGGGAGGCUUUGAAGUGUGGACGCCAGUCUGCAUGGAGCCGGCCUUGAAAUACCACCCUUUAAUGUUUGAUGUUCUAACGUAGACCCGUGAUCCGGGUUGCGGACAGUGUCUGGUGGGUAGUUUGACUGGGGCGGUCUCCUCCUAAAGAGUAACGGAGGAGCACGAAGGUUGGCUAAUCCUGGUCGGACAUCAGGAGGUUAGUGCAAUGGCAUAAGCCAGCUUGACUGCGAGCGUGACGGCGCGAGCAGGUGCGAAAGCAGGUCAUAGUGAUCCGGUGGUUCUGAAUGGAAGGGCCAUCGCUCAACGGAUAAAAGGUACUCCGGGGAUAACAGGCUGAUACCGCCCAAGAGUUCAUAUCGACGGCGGUGUUUGGCACCUCGAUGUCGGCUCAUCACAUCCUGGGGCUGAAGUAGGUCCCAAGGGUAUGGCUGUUCGCCAUUUAAAGUGGUACGCGAGCUGGGUUUAGAACGUCGUGAGACAGUUCGGUCCCUAUCUGCCGUGGGCGCUGGAGAACUGAGGGGGGCUGCUCCUAGUACGAGAGGACCGGAGUGGACGCAUCACUGGUGUUCGGGUUGUCAUGCCAAUGGCACUGCCCGGUAGCUAAAUGCGGAAGAGAUAAGUGCUGAAAGCAUCUAAGCACGAAACUUGCCCCGAGAUGAGUUCUCCCUGACCCUUUAAGGGUCCUGAAGGAACGUUGAAGACGACGACGUUGAUAGGCCGGGUGUGUAAGCGCAGCGAUGCGUUGAGCUAACCGGUACUAAUGAACCGUGAGGCUUAACCUUACAACGCCGAAGGUGUUU
rnacentral:rRNA from 1 species